CUGAGGAACCCGGACUGUAAAAUACAGAGACUGCAGCUGCAACAUGUCGGCCUCACAGAAUCUGGAGUCGAGGAUCUCGCCUCCGCCCGCAGUACAAACACCUCACUGACGGAGCUGAACCUGAGUGACAACUCCUUCACAGACCGAUGUGUCCCUGCUCUCCGCCGCCUCAAUACUGACCCUCCCUAGUCUGGAGCGGAUCGUACUGGCGGGGAAUCAGUUCAAUCCGACCAGGGAGAAGGAACUGAGGUCUCUGCAGGAACCCAGACCCGGACUGAUAGUGUUCGUGUGAACGUCACCGCCCUGGGGACCGGAAUAUUGUUGGCCGAUUCCCCGCCCUCCCCUUUAAACGGCCGCCUUCCCCUUUAAACGACCGCCUUCCCCUUUAAACGGCCACGCUCCGGGUUUAAACCCCAACGGUUCCCGGGCUGGGCGGGCGGUGAUGUCAGAGACGGCCCUGCCUGCUGUCAUGUGACCCGGAUACGCGGCGCUGCUGCUGGUGCCGGAUAUCCGGUUCUGCCCCCAGUGGGGGACAGGGGAAUUGCAGCUGGACCUGCAGGAUCCCAGAUGUGACGUCAUCAUCAGCGGCCCCAGCUCCUGCUGCGGUUUGAUGAUGACAUCAGCAGCAUUGUUCAAACUGUUCAUUCACACAGCAAUGUCUGUUACUGCUUUAUCAUCUGUAAAUCACAUGUAAAUAGUUUA